CGUAGCCAAAAUGUCGAGUGAACUGUGAACCUCUCGAGUUAUCCCAAGUCGCGAACGACACGAUGGCGCUUAGCCACCUCCGCCAUGCGCCGCUCGCUCUCCGCCUCGCGCUCCCGUCCAUCGCCUGCUCCUCUCCCGCCACCCGCCGCCUCUUACUCUUUGCGCCGGCUCGCCCGUGGCGCCUCCUCUCUACCGCCUCGAAGCCGCGCUCGCUCGCCACCUCCGCCGCCGCCGAGGCCGACAACACCAGCGUGGGCACCGACGGCUUCUUCGCCGAGGACAGCACGUCCUGGAAGUCCCUCGGCAUCUCCGACCGCCUCGCGUCCGCCUUGCACGGCACUGGGCUCGAGAGACCCUCGCUGGUCCAGGCAGCUUGUAUACCACAUGUUCUUACGGCGAACGAUGUAAUUGUUGCGGCAGAGACUGGCAGUGGCAAAACACAUGGUUACCUGGUUCCACUGAUUGAAAAACUGUGCACCAAAUCUUCCUCCACAGAAGAUGGUGAUUCUGAAAACAUUGCUGUGAGAACAGAUAACAUCGUGUUGGUUUUCUGUCCUAAUGUCAUGCUGUGUGAGCAAGUUGUUUCAAUGGCUAAUUCAUUACUGGAUGUAUCUGGUGAACCACUUAAGCGCGCUGUUGCAGUUUGUGGGCCAAAGGGUUGGCCUGCAGUUCGCCCAGAUAUUCUUGUAGCCACUCCAGCCGCUCUUUUGAAUUAUCUAUUCGAUUAUGACCCAGAGAGGAGGCGGAGGGAGAAGUUCCUACGCAGUGUAAAAUACAUCGUAUUUGAUGAGGCAGACAUGCUACUUUGCGGAAGUUUUGAAAAUCAGAUCAUUCGUCUCAUCCACAUGCUGCGGUUUGACGAGAAGUUACUUUCAAGGGCGGAAGAUUCUGGAAAAGAAGUACCGCUCGAAGGUUCUGAUGAAUAUCAUGAGGAUUCGGGUUCUGAGAGUGCUGAAGUUAGUGAUAUUGAUGAUGAAAAUGAAGAUGGUCAUAUUCAAGAUGGAGCAGUCAAGGCGAAGAAUGCUCAUGUAGGAGCACGCAGGGAUUGGAGAAGGGUUAGAAAAGUUUAUAGGCGCAGCAAGCAAUAUGUCUUUGUUGCUGCCACCCUCCCUCAGAGUGGAAAAAAGACUGCUGGUGGUGUGCUGAAACGUAUGUUUCCUAGUGCUGUGUGGGUUAGUGGUGCUUAUCUGCACCGUCACAACCCUAGACUGGAGAGAAGAUGGAUAGAGGUUACUACUGAUACACAAGUCGAUGCUCUUCUGGAUGCAGUAAAGUAUGGCCUGAAGAGUGAAGUUGACCCAGAACUUGGUCCAAAUCGAACUAUGGUGUUCACGAACACCGUCGACGCUGCUAAUUCAGUCUCUGACAUAUUGCGGAGAGUUGGUAUUCCAUGCGUUUUGUACCACCGUGAGAGCUCCCUGGAGGAAAGGACAGCCAAUUUACAAUCUUUCCGGGAGAAUGGUGGCGUGCUCGUCUGUACUGAUGCUGCCGCUCGUGGGCUUGACGUGCCAAAUGUAUCACAUGUUAUUCAGGUACCGUUCGACCUCGCCUCUUGAAAUGUCUGCAUGUCUGGCGCUGCACAGCUGUUGCCUGUCUGUCACAGGCGGAGUUUGCUGCUUGCGCUGUCGACUUUUUGCACAGGGUGGGUCGCACAGCUAGAGCUGGCCAAUCUGGAAUAGUGACUAGCCUAUAUACAGAUGCAAACCGUGAUCUCGUGAGAGCAGUUCGUCAAGCGGAGGAGCUGGCCCAGCCAGUGGAGAGGGCGUUCAGUAGAAAAAGAAGUUUCCGCAACAAGUUGAAGAAACAAGCUCGACUGCGCGAACCUGCAACGUUGCUGUCUUGAUUUAUGACUUUUCUCGCCUUUGAUGUGUAGAAACAAGGAGUUACUCACAGUCUUGUGUUUUUCUAGUGGCCUAGUUCUGCCAUUUCAUUUUGUACUGUUAUAAGAUUCAAGACAUGUUCAAGUGCAAUUUUCUUUUCUCAA